rnacentral:rRNA from 1 species
AUGAACGCUAGCUACAGGCUUAACACAUGCAAGUCGAGGGGCAUCAGGAAGAAAGCUUGCUUUCUUUGCUGGCGACCGGCGCACGGGUGAGUAACACGUAUCCAACCUGCCCUUUACUCGGGGAUAGCCUUUCGAAAGAAAGAUUAAUACCCGAUGGCAUAAUGAUUCCGCAUGGUUUCAUUAUUAAAGGAUUCCGGUAAAGGAUGGGGAUGCGUUCCAUUAGGUUGUUGGUGGGGUAACGGCCCACCAAGCCUUCGAUGGAUAGGGGUUCUGAGAGGAAGGUCCCCCACAUUGGAACUGAGACACGGUCCAAACUCCUACGGGAGGCAGCAGUGAGGAAUAUUGGUCAAUGGGCGGUAGCCUGAACCAGCCAAGUAGCGUGAAGGAUGAAGGCUCUAUGGGUCGUAAACUUCUUUUAUAUAAGAAUAAAGUGCAGUAUGUAUACUGUUUUGUAUGUAUUAUAUGAAUAAGGAUCGGCUAACUCCGUGCCAGCAGCCGCGGUAAUACGGAGGAUCCGAGCGUUAUCCGGAUUUAUUGGGUUUAAAGGGAGCGUAGGUGGACUGGUAAGUCAGUUGUGAAAGUUUGCGGCUCAACCGUAAAAUUGCAGUUGAUACUGUCAGUCUUGAGUACAGUAGAGGUGGGCGGAAUUCGUGGUGUAGCGGUGAAAUGCUUAGAUAUCACGAAGAACUCCGAUUGCGAAGGCAGCUCACUGGACUGCAACUGACACUGAUGCUCGAAAGUGUGGGUAUCAAACAGGAUUAGAUACCCUGGUAGUCCACACAGUAAACGAUGAAUACUCGCUGUUUGCGAUAUACAGUAAGCGGCCAAGCGAAAGCAUUAAGUAUUCCACCUGGGGAGUACGCCGGCAACGGUGAAACUCAAAGGAAUUGACGGGGGCCCGCACAAGCGGAGGAACAUGUGGUUUAAUUCGAUGAUACGCGAGGAACCUUACCCGGGCUUAAAUUGCAGUGGAAUGAUAUGGAAACAUGUCAGUGAGCAAUCACCGCUGUGAAGGUGCUGCAUGGUUGUCGUCAGCUCGUGCCGUGAGGUGUCGGCUUAAGUGCCAUAACGAGCGCAACCCUUAUCUUUAGUUACUAACAGGUCAUGCUGAGGACUCUAGAGAGACUGCCGUCGUAAGAUGUGAGGAAGGUGGGGAUGACGUCAAAUCAGCACGGCCCUUACGUCCGGGGCUACACACGUGUUACAAUGGGGGGUACAGAAGGCAGCUAGCGGGUGACCGUAUGCUAAUCCCAAAAUCCUCUCUCAGUUCGGAUCGAAGUCUGCAACCCGACUUCGUGAAGCUGGAUUCGCUAGUAAUCGCGCAUCAGCCACGGCGCGGUGAAUACGUUCCCGGGCCUUGUACACACCGCCCGUCAAGCCAUGGGAGCCGGGGGUACCUGAAGUACGUAACCGCAAGGAUCGUCCUAGGGUAAAACUGGUGACUGGGGCU